rnacentral:rRNA from 1 species
UACGGAGGGUGCAAGCGUUAUCCGGAUUCACUGGGUUUAAAGGGUGCGUAGGUGGGCAGGUAAGUCAGUGGUGAAAUCUCCGAGCUUAACUCGGAACUGCCGUUGAUACUAUUUGUCUUGAAUAUUGUGGAGGUAAGCGGAAUAUGUCAUGUAGCGGUGAAAUGCUUCGAUAUGACAUAGAACACCAAUUGCGAAGGCAGCUUACUACACAACGAUUGACGCUGAGGCACGAAAGCGUGGGGAUCAAACAGG